GGGUCAGUAGGUUGGUCGUGCCACCGGUACGUACUGGUCUCACUGAUUCCUCCUUCCUGAAGAACCGUAAUGCCAUUAAUUUGGUGUUGCGGGGAAACAGGACUGUUACUUUGAAAAAAUUAGAGUGUUUAAAGCAAGCUAACGCUUGAAUACAUUAGCAUGGAAUAAUGAAAAGGGACGAUCGAUCCUAUUUUGUUGGUUUCUAGGAUUGACGUA
rnacentral:rRNA from 1 species